CCGCACAAGCGGUGAAGCAUUGUGGUUAAUUCGAAGCAACGCGAAGAACCUUACCAGGUCUUGACAUCCCGAUGCUAUUUCUAGAGAUAGAAAGUUACUUCGGUACAUCGGUGACAGGUGGUGCAUGGUUGUCGUCAGCUCGUGUCGUGAAAUGUUGGGUUAAGUCCCGCAACGAGCGCAACCCCUAUUGUUAGUUGCCAUCAUUCAGUUGGGCACUCUAGCGAGACUGCCGGUAAUAAACCGGAGGAAGUGGGGAUGACGUCAAAUCAUCAUGCCCCUUAUGACCUGGGCUACACACGUGCUACAAUGGUUGGUACAACGAGUUGCGAGUCGGUGACGGCGAGCUAAUCUCUUAAAGCCAAUCUCAGUUCGGAUUGUAGGCUGCAACUCGCCUACAUGAAGUCGGAAUCGCUAGUAAUCGCGGAUCAGCACGCCGCGGUGAAUACGUUCCCGGGCCUU
rnacentral:rRNA from 1 species